UACGGGGGGGGCAAGCGUUGUUCGGAAUUACUGGGCGUAAAGGGCUCGUAGGCGGCCUUCUAAGUCGAACGUGAAAUCCCCGGGCUCAACCCGGGAACUGCGUCCGAUACUGGAAGGCUUGAAUCCGGGAGAGGGAUGCGGAAUUCCAGGUGUAGCGGUGAAAUGCGUAGAUAUCUGGAGGAACACCGGUGGCGAAGGCGGCAUCCUGGACCGGCAUUGACGCUGAGGCGCGAAAGCCAGGGGAGCAAACGGG
rnacentral:rRNA from 1 species